CUGAUUUCUUCGAUUGGAGCCGUGGGUACUUGUUUCGUUCUCGCCGUGAUUGCUCGCCGGUGGGGUCAUCGGAGGUCGAAGUAAGUUUUUCUUCUCUUCCUCUCUUCUUUCCCCUUCUUCCCGUGCCUCUGUGCGCGACUGCUGGCGACGAGUGUCGCCGAUUUUUGAUCGGAGAAGAGACCCCUAUUUUGGUCUCUUCUUCCCUUUGGUUUUCCGGCGCCGGCG
rnacentral:lncRNA from 1 species